CUGUGGCCUGGCCAACGCCCCAUCCUACGCUACAGACAGCCUAACGUCGCCGGUGGGCCACCCGAAUACAUCCUUUCCCGGACCCACACGUCAUCCUCCCCUAAACCCUCCGCCACCUUUUCCCGAAAGCCCUGCCCUUUUUAUGCCAGCCCGAACCAUCCGGGUCCGGGGCAUCGGCAUUCAGCACAGCAGCCACCUCUUACCACGCCCCACGGCACCACCCCAACGUGAUGGCGGUGAGCAACAACAUCACGGCAUGCGUGACGCUGCUGGCGCUGAUCUGCGCGGUGCCCGUGAUCGCGUCGGGGGUGUGGUUCGCGUCGGCGCAGGGCGAGGAGUGCGCGCGCCUGGCGCGGUGGCCCGUGGCCAUCCUGGGCGGGCUGCUCCUGCUGGCCGCGCUGGCGGGCUUCGUGGGCGCGUACUGGAACCGGCGCGGCCUGCUUGCCUUCUACCUCUUCGCCAUGGCGUCGCUCGUCGUGCUCCUCAUCGCGCUCCUCGCCUUCGCCUUCGCCGUCACCCGCGGGUCCGGCGCCUACCCCGUGCUCGGCCGCGCCUACGACGACUACCGCCUCGACGGCUUCUCCAUGUGGCUCCGCGGGUACGUCUCCGACGACCCCGGGCGCUGGGACAAGGUCAGGGCCUGCCUCGCCGUCUCCGACACCUGCAAGAAGCUCGCGCGCCAGGCCGCCUUCACCAGCGCAGACCAGUUCUAUCAGUCGCACCUCUCCCCGCUCCAGUCCGGGUGCUGCAAGCCGCCGUCGGUGUGCGGGUUCAGCUACGUGAGCCCGACGGUGUGGUCCGCCCCGGCGGCGCGGCCGGCGGCGGACGCGGACUGCGGGCUGUGGAGCAACGACCCGGGGCAGCUGUGCUACGGGUGCGAGUCCUGCAAGGCGGGCCUCCUGGAGGCGCUCCGGGACCAGUGGCACAAGGCCAACGUCGCCCUCGUCGUCGCCACCGUCGCCCUCGUCAUCCUCUACCUCGUCGGCUGCAGCGCCUACAAGAACGCGCAGGCCGCCGCCAUCUUCGGACGCCGCAAGUAUUAGCUAGCUAGCUGCCAUGUUAGUUUUUUUUUGCGCUUUUUUUUCUUUAUUGUCAUGUGGGUUGUGGAUUAUGGAUUGCGUAUGUGUGUCCCCCCUGGUGGAGAGAAGCAUUUGUAGCGGUGGCGUGGUGUGUGUUUCCGGACUUGGUUCAUCAUGGUAGUGUGAUACAUGUGUAAGAUUAGUUACUUUAAUUACUAAUUGUGCUGUUUUCCUCUUUCCCUGUUCGCCGACGAGUAAUGUAUCUGGUUUGAAGAUUAGUUACUUUACUAAUGGUUUGAAGACGACUAAGGGCUUGUUCGUUUUGCUCUCAAUCCAUGUGGAUUGGGUGGGAUUGGAUGGGUUUCAAUCCCAAACAAGUCAAAAUCGUUCACAAUUUUUUCCAAUCCCAUCCAAUCCAUAUGGGAUAGGAAUAACCGAACAAGCCCUAAUAGAUUAUAGAUGUGGGUUGGGCCUGUGGAAAGAUCACCGAUGGCCUUGGUAGACGGCAGUAGUAAUACACAGGGGAGCAGGAUGUUAUUUGUUUGGCAAUGGAAUGGAGACACGCCUUGCCGUCAGUAGUGCUACACCCGUUGCUCCUCGUCCCGUGCGUGCUUGGGCGGCUGGCCGUCAGCGUCAGGCGGCGGGUGGCACCUGCUGCUGAACACCCUGAAGGCGGAGACGAGUGAGAGCGCGGCGAAGCAGGCCAGCGCGGCGGCGUGCAGCGCCAGCGACACCGUGGCCUUCCCGCAGAACCGGCCGAAGUAGGAGCACGCCUCGCCCCACGACACGCCCCGGUCGCCGUGCCGCGCCAGCUGCAGCAGCUCCGCCGCCGCCGAGGCCGACGUCACCAGCAGGUAUAAGUAACUAAUAAAGAGCAUGUACUGUACGUCGAAUAGAGAGGAAGAGGAGAAGCUAAGAUGGUGUGCUGGGCGGGCGAGACAGAGCGACCUGAUCCAUGACGAGAACCACCCAGUCGUAGCGCGCGGCGAGGGGCCGCUUGAAGGACGACGCCAAGACGGAGGCUACAGCGUAGGCGGCUGUGACGGCGUUGACGCCAACCAAAUAGCUAGCAAAACGACAUCGAUUUCUUUUUUUUAGCUGCUAGCAUCAUGCAUGACGAUGCGCUCUCUCUCAAGGAGAGAACUAAUAAUCCAACACAAAAAAAAAAUUAUGCUACAGAUUCGAGCAGGGUGGAGAGGAAAUCAAACGAGAGUGCUAGCAGUCCAAUAAUGAAGGGUUCAGUUGUAAUGCUUACUACUGGAAGGCCGGUCUAAAUAAACUACACACCAAUUGAUGCCGGCGGCGGCGGAUCGAUGCUUUGUACAGACCUGAAUCCGGAGAGAUCGGAGAACUUGACCUCCCCGUAGGUGUCGUCUGCCUGCGCGUUGGUGGCCAUCUCCCACAGGGAGGCCAAGGAGAGCGGGACGACGCAGAGCCUGAGCGCCAUCUCGGGGACCUUGAGGCCCGCCGCCAUGAUCCUGGACUCAGCGUGUGCGCGUGCCGUGCUGUGGAGGAAGGGGAAUAAGAAGAAGAAGAAGACGACGACGACCGAGAGAGGACCAGGGCUUGACUGGUGCACGCACGCACCAACUCCAUACCACUAGCGUACAAAGCGAUGAAUGCGCAUGGGCUGGCCCAUGGAAUGUAUUGAGAGAGUGAGAUGGAAUGAUCUCAAAGUUUAUCUAACUUUUUUCUUUUGACUAGGGGCAUGUUCAGACUAUAACUAUUUCUA
rnacentral:misc_RNA from 1 species